rnacentral:rRNA from 1 species
UACGUAGGGGGCAAGCGUUGUCCGGAUUUAUUGGGCGUAAAGAGCGUGUAGGCGGCCAGGUAGGUCCGUUGUGAAAACUCGAGGCUCAACCUCCAGACGUCGACGGAAACCGUGUGGCUAGAGUCCGGAAGAGGAGAGUGGAAUUCCUGGUGUAGCGGUGAAAUGCGCAGAUAUCAGGAAGAACACCAAUGGCGAAGGCAGCUCUCUGGGACGGUACUGACGCUGAGACGCGAAAGCGUGGGGAGCGAACAGG